AACGAACGCUGGCGGCAUGCCUAACACAUGCAAGUUGAACGAGACCUUCGGGUCUAGUGGCGCACGGGUGCGUAACGCGUGGAAACCUGCCCUUAGGUUCGGAAUAACUCCCCGAAAGGGGUGCUAAUACCGGAUAAUGUCUUCGGACCAAAGAUUUAUCGCCUUUGGAUGGGCCCGCGUUGGAUUAGCUAGUUGGUAGGGUAAAAGCCUACCAAGGCGACGAUCCAUAGCUGGUCUGAGAGGAUGAUCAGCCACACUGGGACUGAGACACGGCCCAGACUCCUACGGGAAGCAGCAGUGGGGAAUAUUGGACAAUGGGCGAAAGCCUGAUCCAGCAAUGCCGCGUGAGUGAUGAAGGCCUUAGGGUUGUAAAGCUCUUUUACCCGGGAUGAUAAUGACAGUACCGGGAGAAUAAGCUCCGGCUAACUCCGUG
rnacentral:rRNA from 1 species